CUACCUAUCUACCUUUCUUCGUUCUCUACAGGCUCCUACCUGUCGGUCAAGGUUGAACCGUCUGAACUGGAGCCGUAAUAAGAUUUAACUAAGAGAUAAGCUGUACAAAAGUGAAUGGAAUAAUAUAAUAUUUGGCGGAUAAAAA